AACGAACGCUGGCGGCAGGCUUAACACAUGCAAGUCGAACGCCCUAGCAAUAGGGAGUGGCGCACGGGUGAGUAACGCGUGGGAAUGUACCGUUUAGUGGGGGAUAACCAAGGGAAACUUUGGCUAAUACCGCAUACGCCCUUCGGGGGAAAGAUUUAUCGCUAAACGAUCAGCCCGCGUGAGAUUAGGUAGUUGGUGGGGUAAUGGCCUACCAAGCCGACGAUCUCUAGCUGGUCUGAGAGGAUGAUCAGCCACACUGGAACUGAGACACGGUCCAGACUCCUACGGGAGGCAGCAGUGGGGAAUAUUGGACAAUGGGGGCAACCCUGAUCCAGCCAUGCCGCGUGAGUGAUGAAGGCCUUAGGGUUGUAAAGCUCUUUUACCGAUGAAGAUAAUGACGGUAGUCGGAGAAAAAGCCCCGGCUAACUUCGUGCCAGCAGCCGCGGUAA
rnacentral:rRNA from 1 species